AAGCGAAACCCGCCUCAGUGAUGGGGCGCGGUCUACCUAACGUAGUGGUUAGGUACUGAUGAGCAGCUAA
rnacentral:hammerhead_ribozyme from 1 species